GGCUCAGGACGAACGCUGGCGGCGUGCUUAACACAUGCAAGUCGAACGGGAAUUACUUUAUUGAAACUUCGGUCGAUUUAAUUUAAUUCUAGUGGCGGACGGGUGAGUAACGCGUGGGUAACCUGCCUUAUACAGGGGGAUAACAGUCAGAAAUGGCUGCUAAUACCGCAUAAGCGCACAGAGCUGCAUGGCUCGGUGUGAAAAACUCCGGUGGUAUAAGAUGGACCUGCGUUGGAUUAGCUUGUUGGUGGGGUAACGGCCCACCAAGGCGACGAUCCAUAGCCGGCCUGAGAGGGUGAACGGCCACAUUGGGACUGAGACACGGCCCAGACUCCUACGGGAGGCAGCAGUAGG
rnacentral:rRNA from 1 species